AGUGAUUUGAGGGCGAGAGUAAACGAGAAAUCGAAAGAAAACUUGUGAAACACCGUUAUUUCGAUGAGUAUAUACGAAAGAGAUUCAAGAAUUUGAAUUACAACAAUCAAUUUCUUUAACAAAAUAUACCCGCAUGCGCAAAAACACAACGCGGAACGAGAGGCUCUACAAAAGCUAUGCAAGACACGAUCAAUAUUCUCGAUCUACAAUGAAAAUUCUUGAUCCACAAUCAAUAUUAUCGACCUACAAUCAAUAUCGUUUUGGACCCCGUAUGUUAUGCGAAGUCUAAGAGAGAUCGUGAAGGUCGUAAAAUUUCGGAUCUCAUCGGAGUUAUUUCACCGAACUUACUAAUACAUCGAAGCUACUUCAAGAAGGUCAUAAGAGAAACCAGCCUUUCUAAUGACGUUUUAAAUCGGCGUCCUUGACGUCCGAGCCACGACUUACCGUUCUAUGUCACCGGAAUUGACCUGCAUCUUAUCCGGCUAAGAGCUGUUAUUUCGGUGUUCGAUCGUUGCGCAGUUAUCUUAUGUGAUCAGUUGAAAUUUGUUGAGAAUUGUUGUCCUCUUAAACUUCUCCAAUGAAGUUUUCGCAUAAGCGAUAGUUAAAGCUGCAUAUUUUAAACACAGCUUAAUUAAACGAAACCGUCUGGUAACCGCCUAAGCUAACCUUCAUCAACUUCACCAUUGGCAACGCUGCACUUUGACAAGUCAAUAAAAGUGUAACUGUUGAAUGCCGUUAAGUGAAAAAAUAAACCGCAAUUUUAAAAAAAUCUGCGAUUUCAGCACAGAGCAGCUUAAUUUCAAUAAAAUCUCUUCUCGAAACCAAAAAGUGUUACCAACAUUUCAAUCAAACUGCCACAUUAAGCACAUUUUGGCCUUAGCAGACUUCUUGUCCCCAGUGCCACUCGAGCACACACACAACCACAUCGCGACAAGCACAUAGGUAAACCGCCGCACAAUGCGAAAUGGAUCGAGUAUGGGCAAUAAAAUGUCAACUGGCAUUUAGAAGAGGCUUAACUAUUUAAAUAAUCAAAUGGCCACGCAACGGAAUGGUUUGAUCCAACGAUGUGCCCCUUUACAUUUUGCCGAAUUCAAAGCGCC